AGUCCUGUGCCAUAUUUUUAUUUUUAUUUUUUGCUCAUUCGCGGUGCACCAGUCCCCUGUCGUGCGUGCGGGAGCGUCUUGCCAAGCAGCAGCCACGGUGCUUUUGAACAAGUAGUGCCGGCAUUUUGUCCCCCUAGCCUCCUACGCGCACUCUGCAGCUAUCGUUUGCCGGUUUGGGAGCAUCAGCUCGAGCGGUGCUAGCCGCAUACUCGCCUAAGAAGCGGCGCACCUUCCGCGACGCCCUUCGGAUACAUCUCACUUUUCUUUCCCUUCCUUUCCUUUCCUCCUCCCUCCUACUCCCUUUUGCCCGGGCCUUUCGAAACAUCGCGUCUCUCUUGCAUCUUCGCCCUCCCAUCAUCCGCACCCCUGUGUCUGUGCCGCUGCUCACACGUUGCGUGUGGUGGCCAGACAUUGUCCUCCUCUUGCGGCUAGGCUUUUCACAUGGCUAGCGCGCACACACUCGCACGCAUUCUCCGGCUUUCAGCUGGGUCUCUCUUCUCCACACCCUGCCCUCCUCUCCGUCGUGUGGGGGCGCUUCUCGUCCUCCCACGGCUGACCUUUGGAUUUCGCUUACUAUUGUCGUGUACAAGGUGAGCAGGCUGCCAUGUUGAACAUUCCGGACUACCGCCAACAACCACUUGUACGCAUGGUUUACGCGUGGCCCGCGUUCCUCGGCGUCCUCCUGUUUACUUUGUUGACCCUUGUCGGGAUGAUGCGCUGCGUUUUUCGGGGCCUUGACGGUGGUUCGCCACGAUACAUCGGCCCGAACACCACCACUUCUGUUCGGCAAGAUAUUUUCUAUGUUGUAGCUGCUCCACUCGUCUUUCAGGGUCUGUGUGUGAGCAUCUACACAACAUGGGUAAGCUGGAAGUUCUUUCGCCACAACUGAGCGCCGCUCUGACAGCGACCUCCUGGUGCGGUCAAUGUCUCGGUGGUGUGCGCCUCAAAGCCGCUGUGGUGACACCUCUGGCGUGUGGUCGUUCAGCUUUCACGCUCUACACGGAGUGCUCUCCCUGGUACUUCCACCACCACCACCGCCACGGCCACCCAAUCCCUCAGCGCAUCGGUGUGCACGGGUCUUUCGCUGCGCCUGCGUGCCCACCGAGCGCAGCUGCUCAAUUCGAGGUGCGCGCUUCAAAAGUUUUCUCUUUCACCCACUUCCCGCCCUCCCCGUCCUCCCUGCCGGCGGGGAGUCGAAG
rnacentral:misc_RNA from 1 species